rnacentral:lncRNA from 1 species
CAUGCCAGAUUCUGAAGUCACAAAAACUCAAAACGUAUCAGCCAUUCUGGAGUCAAGAGAAUCCUAGCUCUGUCUUAGAGUGGCAAACUCUACUGAAACUGCCCCUCUAUGGGCCAAGCCUUGUCGGUCGUCUGACCCUCCUGCUGUUGGCAUGGAUGCACCACAGAACAAGGCCUCCACCGUUACCUGUUUGAGCAGCUGGAAUCUAGCCCUCCAGAACCCUGCUGGGACCCCUGGGCAGUCCGCAGGUGUCAGCCCUGGUGAAUGAACUUGGUCCUCCUGUCCUGCUCUACUGCACAAGGCCACGCCCAGCUUUCUGCGGCCCUGGCCCUGUCCACGGUGCUAACGCCCAUCGCGUCCCAAGGCUUGUGUAGCUCUUCCCACCUCAACCCUUCACCCCUGCCUCCAACUUUAAGAUCUCAGAAGAUCUCCCCAGUCACCAGGGAUGAAUUCUGAGCUCACGUUCUGGAAUGCUGCCAGGAAGGAAGCGGCAUUGGUGUAAAGAAUCACACAAAAGGCCGCAGGUGCCAUGUCAUUCUGCACACCUGCUCCAGGCUACUUGUGGGCAAAGUUCAAAAGUAUGGCUAACCUUCUGGGGACAGUUCCCUCACCCUACCCAGGACCUUUGAAGAAGAGAAAGACAACACCAGAUGUGAGGAGGAAGGAAGCCCUCCCUGCCCUGUGCCCAGGGGCCUCCGCUCCCUCCACCCAUUGAAGUGUCUGCAGCUGCUCCUACUGCUCUCCUUGGUCGACCUUUCCAGACCUGCUGGCUCUCGAUCUACCAUUUGCAACACUGAGCGCUCUUGUCAUUGUACAUCUCAGGUCUGUCUUCGCUACUGGACUGUGAACUCCGAGACACACCUGUGUGUCUCAUCCACUGCCGCAUUCCUGUCGCUACCGUGGUGCCUGGCACCUGGUGAGCACGCAGGUGGGAGGACAACAGCUUAGACAGAUUCGUCUGUUUUACCACAUGGCUCUCCGGCAUGCACUCUGUUCGGCCCCAAGCUUGCAGCAGCAGGAAAAAAGGCUUCCUCCCUCGCCUCACCCAGGGGCAGCUGGGAUCUGCGGGGAGGUGUAUCAUAUCAAUUCAUGUAAAGGAGAGAUGCAUAGUACCAACAGAGAGCGCAGAAGAAGGUCAUGUGAUGAGCUCCUCUCCCUCUCUCUAUUGCAUCUGAGCCAUCCUAGGGUCCCCAGUGCCCAGCACGGCAUCCGGCACAAGGUAGGCAUCCCACAAACAGUGAGUGGGAUUGAACUCACCGCAGGAAGGCUAGUUGAGCCUUUGCCGCUCUCUUCUCCCCCUCCCUGGGCCUAUUUUGCUGCCAUUCCUUCCCUGUCCUCCCGGGAGGCCCUGCAUACCUUGAGCGCUGACUGAAAGACCUGAUAGCGGUGCCUUCUAUUCUGGGCACAGGUGGGAUAGCCACGUGCAUAUGGAGGCUGGGAGCCUCUUUGUGUUACCUGGGAGUUUGUGUCAACGAGCACCUGGGUCUCUAGAGAAGGACCCAAGUCUUCAGUGGAGCCAUGGUUUAUGGACCCAGCUCCAGGAGCCGAAAAAACCAAUUAGCCUUCUCUGCUUCUCCACCUGGAGGCAGAAUAAUUCUAGUAAAGUCCUUCCUCCUGGACAGAGACUUCGUCUGCCCGGAUCUUAGCUCUGAGAUGUCCCCAUCCAGCCUUUCACCCCUCUUGACUGACGAUGCUCAAGUCAGGAGUUCUGAGCUUCCUAGGCCAGUUUUCUUACAUUAAAACCAUGACUACUUACUGAUACACUGGAAGCCUUUUCCAGAUUUCCAUUUUUUCUAAACCUUAUUUCUCCAUCACAAUAGGAUUUAAAAAUCUUUGCCUGGCUAGAUCAUUUAUUUACAUACACAGUCAUUUACAUAAAGAUUUUUUUUAGGUGCCUACAAUAGCCAGGUGCUGGAUUAGUCACCAAGAAGGCGGAGGUGAAUCAAAGACAUGGUCCCUGUCCGCGGGAAGCUUGUAGUUUGUGAGGAAGUUCACACUUACCUGUGCUUACCGGCACAGUACAGUCUGUUAAGGGCAGCCCGGCUUUUAAUCUAGGACAUCAGAUUCUUUGUUCACUGACUAUCUAUUGUUCACCUGUGACACAUCAGGCAUGAAUAAUAGCUAUAGGGCUGAUGCAGGCCACCCCUCACACAGAUGAAGCACAAAGAAGUCUGUGAACAGCCACUGCACCCUGCAUUUGUGAGAACGCCAGGAGCUAGAAACUGGGUGCCAGGCUCCCCAGGGUGGUGGAGAAGACUGCCUGAGGUGGGAGCCAGGAGCAUUUGCACCUAGCAGAGGUGAACAUGAACAGACAGAGCCUCUCAGUACGACUGGGUGGUGUGGAAGCUGACUCAUGUUGUUCUCCUUACUGCAGCCCCUAAUGCUGGGCCCACA